UACGAAGGGGGGCUAGCGUUACUCGGAAUUACUGGGCGUAAAGGGCGCGUAGGCGGCGCUCCAAGUUAGGCGUGAAAGUCCUGGGCUCAACCUGGGAACUGCGCUUAAGACUGGAGUGCUUGAGGAUGGAAGAGGGUCGUGGAAUUCCCAGUGUAGAGGUGAAAAUUCGUAGAUAUUGGGAAGAAACACCGGUGGCGAAGGCGGCGACCUGGUCCAUUACUGACGCUGAGGCGCGACAGCGUGGGGAGCAAACAGG
rnacentral:rRNA from 1 species